UACGUAGGGCGCAAGCGUUUAUCCGGAAUUAUUGGGCGUAAAGAGCUCGUAGGCGGUUUGUCGCGUCUGCCGUGAAAGUCCGGGGCUCAACUCCGGAUCUGCGGUGGGUACGGGCAGACUAGAGUUCGGUAGGGGAGAUCGGAAUUCCUGGUGUAGCGGUGAAAUGCGCAGAUAUCAGGAGGAACACCGGUGGCGAAGGCGGAUCUCUGGGCCGAUACUGACGCUGAGGAGCGAAAGCGUGGGGAGCAAACAGG
rnacentral:rRNA from 1 species